rnacentral:tRNA from 1 species
CUUCUUGUGGUGUAGUUGGCAACGCGCCUGUCUAGUGAGUAGGAGUCGAGGGUUUGAGUCUUACCGAGAGGA